rnacentral:rRNA from 1 species
GAAAUAGAUACCCCGGGUAGUCCACGCCGUAAACGUUGGGCGCUAGGUGUGGGGGUCCCUUACCGACGACCUCUGGGUGCCGGCAGCUAACGCAUUAAAGCGCCCCGCCUGGGGAGUACGGCCGCAAGGCUAAAACUCAAAGGAAUUGACGGGGGCCCGCAUAAGCGGCGGAGCAUGCGGAUUAAUUCGAUGCAACGCGAAGAACCUUACCAAGGCUUGACAUGUACAGGAAAGUUCCAGAGAUGGUUCCCCCGCAAGGUCUGUACACAGGUGGUGCAUGGUUGUCGUCAGCUCGUGUCGUGAGAUGUUGGGUUAAGUCCCGCAACGAGCGCAACCCUCGCCUUAUGUUGCCAGCACGUAAUGGUGGGAACUCAUAAGAGACUGCCGGGGUCAACUCGGAGGAAGGUGGGGAUGACGUCAAAUCAUCAUGCCCCUUAUGUCUUGGGCUUCACGCAUGCUACAAUGGCCGGUACAAUGGGCUGCAAUACCGCGAGGUGGAGCGAAUCCCAAAAAGCCGGUCUCAGUUCGGAUUGGGGUCUGCAACUCGACCCG